AAUGUAGUUGCUGGGUCAUAUGGUAAGAAUAGGUUUAAUUUUACAAGAAACUGCCGAACUGUCUUCCAAAGUGGCUGCCGCAUUUUGCAUUUCCCCGCAGUGAC
rnacentral:pre_miRNA from 1 species